rnacentral:rRNA from 1 species
UACAGAGGUGGCAAGCGUUGUUCGGAAUUACUGGGCGCAAAGGGCGCGUAGGCGGCCUACUAAGUCAGACGUGAAAUCCCCCGGCUUAACCUGGGAACUGCGUCUGAUACUGGAAGGCUUGAGUAUGGGAGAGGGAUGUAGAAUUCCAGGUGUAGCGGUGAAAUGCGUAGAUAUCUGGAGGAAUACCGGUGGCGAAGGCGGCAUCCUGGACCAUUACUGACGCUGAGGCGCGAAAGCUAGGGGAGCAAACGGG